GGCGAUAAUACCUGCAUGAGAGGGGCCUGAGGAGGGAGGUCUGAGGUGCUGCAGUUGGACCCUUUUGGCCCCGUGACCGUCUCAGCCCGUAAUUUGAGUAUGCACGUUCAUGAGUUUUCCACGAUGGAGGAACUCCGUUUUGUAUGAUAAAAGGGAAAAGAACUAUAAAGACAAUGAUUUCAAAGACAACGUGUGGAGAGGAAUACCAACUGAGCUUCGGUAUGAUGAUGAUUUAUCCUGGAUGCCUUCAUCUUUUCAAAUACUGAAGAGAAGCGGUGGCUAUAUUUCUGGAAUUGUGAACUCUGAAGAAGAACUGGGAACCCUGCUGGAAAACCACAAAAGAGCCACACACUUCCUUCAACAAGUGGUCUGACAACUUGAAAGACUCUAGCAAACUGUGACCGCUUUGGCAAAUGGAGGACUACUCAGAAGAUAUCCCCCUUUGUGUUACAAAGAGAGUCAUUCUGUCCAAUCAACAUGGCAAAGCACCUUGUAGAAGACCUUCUACAGCUAAGGAGCAUUCUCUGGAACAUGUAUAUACCAAAAAGAGGUUCCAUGUCCAGAAAGGGAAGACGUUGUUCUGUCCAGCAGAACUGUUUAUUCGGCAUGUGAAGAGGUAUGACACAUUUAGUGUCAAAGGAGAUGCCUCCAGAGCCAGAAAAGAAGAUGCCAUGAAGAGGCUAAAGCAAGAAUUGGCCCAAACAAACCCACCAACCUCAACAUUUAUCCAUGUCAAAAUUCCACUAGUGGAAGCUCACCAAAACCACACCAUUAACUCAGGACGUUGCUAUUCAAGACAGCGCAUCAAAUCUGCAAAACUUGCAUUCAGAGAGGAACUGAAAAAGUUAACUGGUGAUUCAUAUUUAUGUGAAGACCUGGAGACUUUUGAAAGAUCAACUGAAGUACUGAUGAAUCUAAGAAAAUCCUUUGUAACAGUGCAGGAGAGAAAAUGGCCUCGUGCUAAAUAAACAACAUGAAAUAGUUAUGUUCAGAAAUGAUCGUGAAGUUCUUCGGGCUCUGCCACUUAGUAAACUAAGGGCGAAACAAACCAAAAAACGGAAUUGGAACCCGGCCCAAGGAUGUGAAUCUGAUUCUCUCCAAAAUGUGCCGAAAUCUGUCAGAUGGGUGAAAUGCUGCAGCAGUAUGAGAGAGAGACAUGCACAUGCUUACAUACACACACACACACACACACACACACAGUGAAUUCUUCAUACAGGCAGGGUGUGAAAUAUGGGGGGUCUUGAGGGGGGGGGGAUCAGACAAACUACACUGAAUAAUACACGCAUUCAAUAUGAAAUAGGUUAUUUGUGCAGAUGUAUGUCAUAUAUGAAUGGUUUUGUGCAGAUGUAUGUCAUAUAUGAACGUAUACAUAAUAUUCUAUUAAAUUAUUCCUAUAAUUUGUA